rnacentral:rRNA from 1 species
UAAGGGAUAUUGGUCAAUGGGGGAAACCCUGAACCAGCAACGCCGCGUGAGGGAAGACGGUUUUCGGAUUGUAAACCUCUGUCCUCUGUGAAGAUGAUGACGGUAGCAGAGGAGGAAGCUCCGGCUAACUACGUGCCAGCAGCCGCGGUAAUACGUAGGGAGCGAGCGUUGUCCGGAUUUACUGGGUGUAAAGGGUGCGUAGGCGGCUCUGCAAGUCAGUAGUGAAAUCCAUGGGCUUAACCCAUGAACUGCUAUUGAAACUGUAAAGCUUGAGUGAAGUAGAGGCAGGCGGAAUUCCCGGUGUAGCGGUGAAAUGCGUAGAGAUCGGGAGGAACACCAGUGGCGAAGGCGGCCUGCUGGGCUUUAACUGACGCUGAGGCACGAAAGCGUGGGUAGCAAACAGG